CUCAGGAUGAACGCUAGCUACAGGCUUAACACAUGCAAGUCGAGGGGCAUCAUGGAGUUUGCUUGCAAACUCUGAUGGCGACCGGCGCACGGGUGAGUAACGCGUAUCCAACCUUCCCUAUAGUAGAGGAUAGCCCGGCGAAAGUCGGAUUAAUACUCUAUGUUUUCCGUUGCAGACAUCUAAGAUGGAACAAAGGCUUGCCGCUAUAGGAUGGGGAUGCGUCUGAUUAGGUAGUCGGCGGGGUAACGGCCCACCGAGCCAUCGAUCAGUAGGGGUUCUGAGAGGAAGGUCCCCCACAUUGGAACUGAGACACGGUCCAAACUCCUACGGGAGGCAGCAGUGAGGAAUAUUGGUCAAUGGGCGAGAGCCUGAACCAGCCAAGUAGCGUGCCAGGACGACGGCCCUAUGGGUUGUAAACUGCUUUUAUGCGGGGAUAAAGUUCACUACGUGUAGUGUUUUGUAGGUACCGCAUGAAUAAGGACCGGCUAAUUCCGUGCCAGCAGCUGC
rnacentral:rRNA from 1 species